AUCUCCUUGGGUAGCACAGGACAUCCUGUGCCCUUCCCCCAUUCCCCACUGGACUCCUUUCCCCUUCUCCCUCUUCCAAGUGUCCCCUUCCUACAUUUCAGGAUGAUGGAGACGAUCCAGCGAGAUCACAGAGGGCUCAGCAAGGUGUCAAGCCUGGGCAGAGCCUUAGACUUAAAUGGGUUAGAGUUGGAGAAACCGAGAGGAAGUGACUGGUCCAAGGCCACCUCCAACUACAGAGGGGCCCACUUAGGCAUGGAGCUGAGGAGUGGUUUCCAGGAGGGUGCUGGGAUUGCUCUUCUGUAAUGGAAGGGCUGCACCUGGCCUGUAAGCUCCCCAGUCUCUGCUCUGGCCCAGAUCCUUCAGUGCCACACUCCGUGUAUUUGACAAGCUGAGUUGGACACUCCGUGUCGUAGAGUGUCAGUUUGUCAAAUACCCCAAGUGAGGCAUUUGCCUAGCAACCCUGGACUGGGGCAGGAUGGAUGAUGGAGAAACUGUCUCUGCCAGCCUUGGAUGUCCAGGCCCCAACCUCCGGAAAGCAGAGCUCUCUCUCUAGAGCAGAUGCCAUCUGGAUCCAGGGGACAUUUGGGGGGGAGUUGGAGACGGGUCUUUAGGGACUGUGGGGUGGGAAGGAAAGCUAAGCUUGGUUCCUGCUUAGCCACAUGACCUUGGACAAGUCCCUUCCUUUCUCAGGUGCAAGGAUCCAAUGAGACAAUUUAUGGAAAGUGCUUUGUAAAUUCUAGAACACUAGAUCAAAGUUAGUUAUUAAUAAUCGCAAGGCUUCUGGGGUCUUGUCCCACUCUAGGAGUAGCCACUAUCUCAUUAGAGAAAGGUAGUCCUUGACCCUGUUCAGGUCCUAGAGCUUUGGGGGCCCAGAAACAGACAACCCAGAAAGCAGUGGGGCACAUACCCUUUCCCAAGGGGGAGGAAAGAGGGAGGGCCCAAGCCCCAGGAACACCUGACCUUAUAGGGCUGGGCCCAGUGGGCUUGGUCAAUUUAUCCAAUCCUGUCUGAUCCCUCACAUUGGGAUGGAUUUGGAGUUGGAAAACCCAAGCCCAAUCCUUGAUUCUCACCUGUGUGGCUGUUGGGAAAGUCAUUUCUCAUCUUAAGACAUAACUUGCCCAGCUGUAAAAUG
rnacentral:lncRNA from 1 species